AAAGGAAUAGACGGGGGCCCGCACAAGCAGCGGAGCAUGUGGUUUAAUUCGAAGCAACGCGAAGAACCUUACCAGGGCUUGACAUCCCGAUGACCGGUAUAGAGAUAUACCUUCCCUUCGGGGCAUCGGAGACAGGUGGUGCAUGGUUGUCGUCAGCUCGUGUCGUGAGAUGUUGGGUUAAGUCCCGCAACGAGCGCAACCCCUAUUUUUAGUUGCCAUCAUUUAAGGUGGGCACUCUAAAGAGACUGCCGGGGACAACUCGGAGGAAGGUGGGGAUGACGUCAAAUCAUCAUGCCCCUUAUGUCCUGGGCUACACACGUGCUACAAUGGUCUGUAACAAAGGGAAGCGAAGGCGUAAGCCGGAGCGAAUCCCAGAAACCAGAUCCCAGUUCGGAUUGUGGGCUGCAACCCGCCCACAUGAAGUCGGAGUUGCUAGUAAUCGCGAAUCAGCAUGUCGCGGUGAAUACGUUCCCGGGCCUUGUACACACCGCCCGU
rnacentral:rRNA from 1 species